rnacentral:rRNA from 1 species
GACGAACGCUGGCGGCGUGCUUAACACAUGCAAGUCGAACGGAAAGGCCCUGCUUUUGUGGGGUGCUCGAGUGGCGAACGGGUGAGUAACACGUGAGUAACCUGCCCUUGACUUUGGGAUAACUUCAGGAAACUGGGGCUAAUACCGGAUAGGAGCUCCUGCUGCAUGGGGGGGGUUGGAAAGUUUCGGCGGUUGGGGAUGGACUCGCGGCUUAUCAGCUUGUUGGUGGGGUAGUGGCUUACCAAGGCUUUGACGGGUAGCCGGCCUGAGAGGGUGACCGGCCACAUUGGGACUGAGAUACGGCCCCGACUCCUACGGGAGGCAGCAGUGGGGAAUAUUGCACAAUGGGCGGAAGCCUGAUGCAGCAACGCCGCGUGCGGGAUGACGGCCUUCGGUUUGUAAACCGCUUUCGCCUGUGACGAAGCGUGAGUGACGGUAAUGGGUAAAGAAGCACCGGCUAACUACGUG